GGAAGUGUGGCCUAGUGGUUUUGAGUGUUGGACUGCAACCCUGGAGGCCAGGGGUCAAUUCCCGGCUGGGCCA